UAAAUAAUAUAUAUAAUUAACAAUCGCAUUAAUAAAUAAAAUAAAAUAAUUUUAUUGAUGCAUAAUUAUCAAUUAAUUUAAUUAUAAAGAUGAGAUAGAAAUAUAAAAGAAAGGGAGGGAUAAAAUGGUGAUUUUAUUUUUGAGAGAGAGGGGUAAAAUGUAAUUUUAUUCUUUUUAACUUGUAUACUUGCAAUAGCAGGUUACAAGUACAUUACAUGAAAAUAAAUUAAAGUUAAGGAAUUUUAUUUUAACAAAUUAAAGUUUAAGGAUGGAAUUAAAAAUAUUCUCUAAGUUCAAGGAUGGUUAAUGCAAUUAAGCCAAAAAAUAUAGAUAUUGUAUACAUAUAGCAUUACACUUUUCUAUUUCAUUUUCUUUAAGUAUUUAGGAGCCAAAGGUAGAGCCAACUUAGGUGCACCAAAACUAAAUUUUGUUUUUAAGUGAUAUUAAGGGUGCAUUUUCUACUAUCAGCAUAGUGCACUCAGAAUUAUUACUUUUAAAAUAUACUCUAGCAAAAUUGAAUUCUAAUUGAUAAGAAAAGAUAAAUCUCAUUCUUAUUACUAGAUUGAACCAUUAGGUUUACCCAUUUAAUUCCUGGUUGACAUUCUCUUCACUUUCACCAUUAUUCUUUUACAUAAUUAAAUUUUAAGGGCUUGUUUAUUUAUAGAAAAUAAUUUUUUGUUUUCUAUUUUUCAUUUUCUG
rnacentral:misc_RNA from 1 species